rnacentral:rRNA from 1 species
GUGGGGAAUCUUCCGCAAUGGACGAAAGUCUGACGGAGCAACGCCGCGUGAGUGAUGAAGGUCUUCGGAGUGUAAAGCUCUGUUAAUCGGGACGAAAGAGCCUAGUGUGAAUAAUGCUAGGAAGUGACGGUACCGGAAUAGAAAGCCACGGCUAACUACGUGCCAGCAGCCGCGGUAAUACGUAGGUGGCAAGCGUUGUCCGGAAUUAUUGGGCGUAAAGCGCGCGCAGGCGGAUCUGCCAGUCUGUCUUAAAAGUUCGGGGCUUAACCCCGUGAUGGGAUGGAAACUAAAGAUCUAGAGUAUCGGAGAGGAAAGUGGAAUUCCUAGUGUAGCGGUGAAAUGCGUAGAUAUUAGGAAGAACACCAGUGGCGAAGGCGACUUUCUGGACGAAAACUGACGCUGAGGCGCGAAAGCCAGGGGAGCGAACGGGAUUAGAAACCCCAGUAGUCC